rnacentral:rRNA from 1 species
CCACAACGGGUGGAGCCUGCGGUUUAAUUGGACUCAACGCCGGGCAGCUCACCGGAUAAGACAGCUGGAUGAUAGCCGGGCUGAAGACUCUGCUUGACUAGCUGAGAGGAGGUGCAUGGCCGUCGUCAGUUCGUACUGUGAAGCAUCCUGUUAAGUCAGGCAACGAGCGAGACCCACGCCAACAGUUGCCAGCAUGUCCUCCGGGAUGAUGGGGACACUGUUGGGACCGCCUCUGCUAAAGAGGAGGAAGGAAUGGGCAACGGUAGGUCAGCAUGCCCCGAAUUAUCCGGGCUACACGCGGGCUACAAUGGUCAGGACAAUGGGUAUCGACACCGAGAGGUGGAGGCAAUCUCCUAAGCCUGUCCUUAGUUCGGAUUGUGGGCUGCAACUCGCCCACAUGAAGCUGGAAUCCGUAGUAAUCGCGUUUCAAAAUAGCGCGGUGAAUAUGUCCCUGCUCCUU